rfam:Edhazardia aedis TSNM 41457 supercont1.100, whole genome shotgun sequence.
GCGAGCGUGGCUCAGUCGGUAGAGCGUUGGUCUCAUAAUCCAAAGGUCGGGUGUUCGAGUCUCCCCGUUCGCA